rnacentral:rRNA from 1 species
GAUGAACGCUAGCUACAGGCUUAACACAUGCAAGUCGAGGGGAAACGAUAUUGGAAGCUUGCUUCCGAUAGGCGUCGACCGGCGCACGGGUGAGUAACGCGUAUCCAACCUGCCCACCACUUGGGGAUAACCUUGCGAAAGUAAGACUAAUACCCAAUGAUGUCCAUCGAAGACAUCUGCAAUGGAUUAAAGAUUUAUCGGUGAUGGAUGGGGAUGCGUCUGAUUAGCUUGGUGGCGGGGUAACGGCCCACCAAGGCGACGAUCAGUAGGGGUUCUGAGAGGAAGGUCCCCCACAUUAGAACUGAGACACGGUCCAAACUCCUACGGGAGGCAGCAGUGAGGAAUAUUGGUCAAUGGGCGAGAGCCUGAACCAGCCAAGUAGCGUGCAGGAUGACGGCCCUAUGGGUUGUAAACUGCUUUUAUAAGGGAAUAAAGUGAGCCUCGUGAGGCUUUUUGCAUGUACCUUAUGAAUAAGGACCGGCUAAUUCCGUGCCAGCCGCCGCGGUAA